CCUGAGAAACCCAAAAGAUCGAAUGUGGAGAUUCAACGUUAGUCCGCUUUGGCUUCCGUGUGAACGCGAUGAUCGGGGCUUCGGUCCUGCGUCACGCGUUUGCUGCGGCAUGUCCGAAGCGGUCGGCGUGCACUUCUCCCCUAGUAGGACGUCGCGAUUCGUUGGGUGUCGGUUUACGGACUGGUAGGUCGCCUGGCGUAAUCUCGUUCACGCGAGUAUGUGCCAGACCUCCGGAUUCCCAACCGGCUGCCCGGCGGUAUAAAACGAUAAUUAAACGGUAUUGAGCCGCAUUGAAUGCGUUCAGGCUCGGAGGCAGGCUUGUCUCGCUCGGAUUUACGGACCUAGUGCCGUUGCCGGGUGCUUGGCGAACUGUGGCUUUCGAUGUCCUCGGACUGGCUCUUGAAUAUUCUUACGAAUAUACCGAUCGGCGACGCUACUGCUUUGGGUACUUUCAGGACCCGUCUUGAAACACGGACCAAGGAGUCUAACAUGUGCGCGAGUCAUUGGGUCAAUUAAAGCCUAAAGGCGCAAUGAAAGUAAAGGUCUUCCUUUGCGUCGACCGAGGGAGGAUGGCUCGCGUUACGAUGCGAGCCCGCACUCCCGGGGCAUCUCGUGUUCAUUGCGAACAGAGGUGCACCCAG
rnacentral:rRNA from 1 species